CGCACGUGUCCUUAACGGCGCCUGCGAAACAGUGCUACAAGAAAAAAACCUGUUCACUAGAGGAUCUCACUUUUCCUGUUCUCCCGUAAUAUGGACAAGGUGUUUCUGAGCUUGGGCUCUCCACCUGCGCAGAAUGGAGUUCCUGUAGUGUGGCUCAAGGGCGAGGAAAGAAGAACUAAGCUUCAGAGAGACCACAGCUAUUGUCCUUCUGCCCUGGAAUUCUUUCUGCAACAGUCUCAAGAGUUUCUCUGGGCAUCUGCAGUUGAAACGCAUCCACUGUAAACAAAAUAUCUCAAAAUGGUAGAAUACAUUGGCACGAAAAGAGAAAAAACUUCUUCCUAGGAGAAAUGAUAUGCUAAAACCCUUGGAAGCAUUUAUGUCAUUUAAGAGGGACCAGUGGGUCUAGAGCCUAAGCAAAGAUAUAGUAAGAUUAACAGAAAUUGUCAGCUGGAAACAAGAACUAGAAUAAAAGAUAAAAUUUAAUUCAAAGAAUUUGUACAUCAGCCCUUAGUUAAAGUGCCUUCAGAUGCAUUAGUCCUAAGCUGUCAAAAAUUCAUUGAGCAGCAGACUGGUGAGCUAAUAAAAAUGCGCCUAUUUGCAGGCUGUGAAAGAAGGUAACUCUUCCCUUUUCAUAUCUUAACUGUGGCCUUUCUAUCGUCUACUUAUAUAUGUAAAUCAUUUGACUCUAUUACUAGAGACAUAAUCACCUGAAUUCUCGGACUCCACUGCCCAGAAUUUAUUCCUUUUUAUGAUUUUCUUCUUUAGAUUAUAUAAUAUUCUGCUUAUAUCCUAAUGGUGCAUGUUAAUACACAGAGACAUACCCACAUGUUUACAUAUUCUCAAUAUUAAAGGAGAGAGAAAUUACUGAAAGCUUUGAGUUCUUAAUACAAAGCAUAACUCAUGAAAUAUUCCCAAUGGACAAAGCAUUGUGCAGAACACUGUCUAGCCCACUGCCAUAAAGGUAAGAAUUUACUCUGAUUCUUGGGCACUUGGACAGUGGUCAAUAUCUGGCCAGGUGGCAAAGAAUUUAUGAGAUUGAAAAAUUGGAGCAAAGGAGGCUUGGAAAGGAGUGUGUGCGUGGAAUACUUGGAAAAGGCCCAGAUUAUAAAAAUGUUUGUACCCCAUGUGGAUUAUAACAUCUCCACUCCUCAUAAAAUGAGCCUUAAUAACCCAGAUAACCAGAUAUAUAGGCUGGAAUAUGAAUGUGAGUCAUUCUCCUUCCAUGGUUAACCCAGGACUUCAGGCUUUUAAACAAAGUUGUUAUGGUGACAAGGAUGGAAGUUACACAUGAGCUUAGUUAACUGAUGCUACUACUGAAUAUCCAAUGUGUCAGUAAUAGUGGCCAAAUAUGAUGCCUUAAGGGAAGUAGCAGCUAUCUGGUAACUGUUCAGUUAAAUUGUAGCCUUUUCAUUGCCAAGGAAACAAUCCAUAAAAUAUUGCCUUUAAUCAAGCUACUAGCUUCAAGUUUUAAAUCAGCAAGCCGAUGUCCGAAGGCAAUAAUCCUUAUGGAAUAGUCAAAUGCCUUGUUGGAAACUUUGCUGCACUCCCAAUGAGCAGACAAGACUUUGUCAGGUUGGGAUGCUGACUUGAAGGAUGUGGUUUUUGUUCUGGAUCAAUGCCAAGGUAUGUGGUCUGUUUAUCCAAAAACGCACAAGUCUUAGUAUGAAGGGGAAAGAGGCAGAUGAUGGCCCUAUAAUUAUAUCUAAUGAUCUUCUUUAUGAAUCGUUUGCUUUUGAGCCCAGGAAUUUUCUUUUCUUUAAGUUUUAGUGCCCAAGAAAGGUACAUGUGUACCAAUGAACACAAUGUUUUCUCUGAAUUAAAAAUAGAAGCUGCAUCGUGAUAGUUUUGGUUUUAUCCUGUCUCUAGGUAAAGAGUUAAGAAUUGCAGCUAUGCCAUCGUUUGACAUUGACUAUCAAGGGUAAACAGGAUUUCUGGUCUACAAUGGGGGCUGGAAAGAGUUAAGAUAGAAUGCUGUACAAUAAUGAAAAUCAGUGAGUGUGCUUCAAGCCUUUGUAGAAAGGACCAGGAAGUCCUAUAUGAGAUGAAGGAUUGGCUCACAUCACUAAGGAAAAAGUACCAACCAGCUAGGAUUCUGUCCAAAUGCAAGAGAAACAUGGAAUAGGUAGUGGAGAAAGGAAGUGAAAGUUACCAGAGGCGCUAUCGGCAGAAGUGAGCACUCUGGCCUGCACACA
ensembl:lncRNA